AACGCAAAUUGCGCCUUCUUUCGGAAGGCAUGUCUGUUUGAGGGCACCAUUUAACAAAUAAUGUGCGCGUCGUUUUUUACGAGCGAUGUGCACACGUUGAUGAGCUUUUCCGAAAAAACCAGGUUUUUUUGGUGGCACAUAAUGAACAGCGUGGGCUUUUUCUUCGAUUCUCGUGUAGUAAAUUUCAAAACAACGCUUGGAUUGAGAAAAAGUGCGUGCCGCGCAAUGGGUGUGGCGAAUUUACCCCUGCCCCAAUGCCACUCUUUCCCUGCGAAAGAACAAUCUUUUAUUCAGGGCCUCAAAUCAGACAAGAGUACCCGCUGAACUUAA
rnacentral:misc_RNA from 1 species